ensembl:lncRNA
UGCAGGUGAAUGGGUGUGUAAAAGCAAAUAUGCAUCAGACUGACAAAGAAAAGAGUGUUAAACGAUUUUUAAUUUAGAACUUUAACUUUAUGUGCAAAACUGAACUUACUGAUAACACACACUAGUCAUUCGAACACAUGUAACUGUAAUGAACCAAAUAAAACAGAAACAUGCAGGCAGCACUCAUUAUACCGUGUAUAACGCAGCAUGGGGUUGUAUUUUUUUCUUUUCAGAUGCUCCUGUCACUCCAUUUCCCAGGUCAUCAUAGCACUCCCACACACACGGAGCUCUCCUGCAGUAUGCAGUGUAAUGGCCCAAACCAUCAGUGGUCAUCUUUCCGUGGAAAGCAAUUAAUGCCCUCAAAGUGAACGACUUUCCUUGGAGAACCAGGUUGGAGGGAAAUUCGUUCAGUGGAAAUUCUGUUUGGUUUGCAAGAGAUGGAUUGGAGAGUGGCCUGAGGCAGGUAGACUCAGGUAGGCCAAGUCCUGCUUCCACAGCAGUGCCAAGAUGAGCCAUAUCAGACUCUUUGAGGACAGAGAUGGCAGGAGAAACAAAUGGCACUUCCCUUGUCAUCCCUUUGCUGAGGUUUGUUGGGUCACACCAUCUGUGGCAAUGGCUUUCACCAGCUGCAGGACUGGGUUUUCACUGUCUUUCAGAACAGCAUUUUGAAAUGUUGAGCUGUCACAGAAGGCACAACAUAAGCACUGAAAAAAUGCAUCAAAAGCACAGUUUCAUCUGCAUGGAGCCAUUCGGUACAUGAAGAGAGGUAGGAAGUUCUCUUCCUUUUUUUGGGUGGAACAGCUAGGCCCCUCCCGUUCUCAACUGGAUCCCCAUCAGCCGGAAGAAUGUUUGUGGCAGCAUCAGAUCCCACAAACGGAACAAAUCCGCAUAUUUCCCUCGAUGAAGGAAAGAUGACGAGCAAUGAAGCGAUCGACUCGAACAGUGUCGCAGGUCUGUCUGGAUCUCAUCCACUGAAUCCACUCUCUCACUUUCCUCCGUCUGUUCAUCUGGAAUGAUGAUGGAGUCUUGAGCAAUUUGGGCUUUCAGGCAGUCCCACUGGCAUAUCAUCUUGAUGCAGUGCGCAACAUCAACCCUGAUAAAACAUGGGGGGAGUUUGGCAGACUGGGUUCCAAGAAGGACAUGAAAGCAUUCAUUAAGAGUGGCCAAAUUUGGAAGGUGGCUUGGCUCAGGAUCUCCAACAUCCAUCAGAUCUGCUGCCUUCGCUGACCUCCAUACAGCCGGUUCCAUUCUGCCCUCACACAGCUCUUUAGAGAUCUGUUCACGCAGGUUUCCAGACAUGAACCGCUUGGAGUGGCCAGUGUGCAGGGAGAGAUCUGUAUUUCUCAUGAAACACUGAAGCACCAUUGGACUAUUAAUUGCUGGCUGUCUGUCACAUGACAUUUCUAACUGGCCAUGACACUCCUUACAGUCGCCUCUGAUGUCCAGAUAAUUAUUGUUGACAGUUGGAUGGACCUUUGCUCUUCGGAACACAAGUGUACAUGUAUUUUUGAUCUUCUUCCAUAUAAGAUCGUUGAUGAUAUGAGUCCAAGUGCCAGGUUUCAAAAUUGUGUAUUCCCUUUUUUGGGUAGGAGAAAACUUGUCAUUGUAUUCAACCGUUUCAGGAAUAAAUUUAACCCAGUCCUCAAAAGGGACUUCUAGUUCAAAAGCUUGACAGUUUUCUUGUCCAGGAGAAAUGCAAUGUGAAUCUAACUCUCCUUCACUAUUACUUUCCUGAUCACCAGACAGUUAGCUAUAUCAUGUAUUAACUCAGUAACUAAAACCUCAGUAUUUUAAAUGUAAGCUUACCUUGUUCAGAAACCAGAUGUAACACGCUGUUCUAAGAAUCCUUCAGACACAGUAAAGCCAAAUAAUAGUUUUUUCUGCCAGAAAAUGUGUAUUUGAUGCAAAAGACUGCUAGCUUGUUUGUCUCUCAAAAAGUGUUCAUGGGAGUGUAAAAUGUUCAAAUGUAGUUUUCAAUAAAGUUUUUUUAAUCCACCUUAAGAAAAAUAGUCAAGCAUUUGCAUCGUAGUUUUAUGAACAAAAAGUGAUUGAAGUAAAGAAAUUGAAGUUAAAAAAAUACACUCAUUACAAAUUUAGCUGAUUAAAUACAACAAGAGGUUUUUUUUAACAGAACUUUAUUGAACAAGACAUUUUUCAGCAGUAACACCAUAACAGAAUAUCUCAUAUCAUAGCAGCACAAACGCUAAUUUCACCUGCACAAAUCAGCACAAACGUAGCACUAAAAAAGUAGGCCAUUUUGGCCCGUUUUGGAGCAGUCUGGGGGGAUGGUGACCUUUGAAUGACCUAUAAAAUAAUGUUUAAUAUCUCAAAAACCGUAGCAGCACAAACGCUAAUUUUAACUGCACGAAUCUGCACAAACGUAGCACUAACCGCUCCGCCUUUACGUUUCAAGUGGGUGGGGGGUCAGCUUCACUCUGUUUUUAUAGGUGAUCCUCACUUGUGUGCACGUGCAUGUAGGUGAACGCUCACGGCAUGACGUCACACAGCUCAGUUCCUUUCUGCUUUGAUCUUGCAGCACGUGACCUCCACUCGAGUCCUCAAAUAGGGGUGAAACGUAUCACUAAACAAUUUUCAAAGCUAUCUUUAACUAAGACAGAGCAAAGAGACACAUAUUGAAAAAUAAUGACCAAUCAAACAGGUAGGAGUGGUCCGGGAAUCCCAAUAGACAAGGAAGAAAACAGAGAAAUAUACAGAGUUAGGUUGGAAAACUGUAUGGAAAACCAAGUUAGGCGAGUGGUAAAAAAAUCAGGCGAAGUCAUCAGUGAGGAAAAAGUCGAAGCCAUUUACAAGAGGCUUACCAAUAAAAUCUGGGCUGAAGUCGAGGAUCAAUUUGAUGAGAUUCUUAUAGUGGACUUCAACAAGCUCUACAACAUGAUUUUCAAAGCCCUGUGUGAAAAGUGGAAAAGUGCAGAAACAGUGCUGCUAAUAAUGAAAUUAAAUCUUCCACUUAUUGACAACACAAUUGUGGUAACCUUUAUAGAAGAGGCAGCCAAACUAAUGAUAAGAAAUCAAAGAAACGCAUAUUCAAAAACAACAGAAACCAACACAGGCAGGAGUGAUCCAGGAAUUCCAAUAGACAAGAAAGAAAGCAGCAGAAAUGACAGAUUUAGGUUGGAAAAGUGUAUGGCAGUCCUGGUUAAGCGAUUGGUUAGAAAAUCAGGUGGAGUCAUCAGUUUGGAAGAAGUUAAAGCCAUCUGCAAGAGGCUUACCAGCAAAAUCUGGGCUGAAAUGGAGGAUCAACUUCAUGUAAAUCUCUUAAUAGAGUCUGACAGGCUCCCAGAGAUGAUUUUCAACGGCCUUUGUAAAAAAUGGCAAAGUGCAGAAAUAGUGCUGCUAAUGAUGAAAUUAAAUCUCCCACUAAUUGACAACAUAAUUGUUGUAACUUUGAUAGAAGAGGCAGCCAAACUAACAAAGAGAGAGCAAAGAAGUGCAUAUUCAAAAACAAUAGCAGCAAACACAGGUAGGAGUGAUUCAGCUUUUAUUUCAGAGCCUAAAGAAAAUGUAAUGCCCGGAAAUGUGACAAAUACAGAAGAAAAAAGUCAUAAUCAUACUUGUAACGCUUGUAUUGACAGGAAAAACAUUUCAAUACAAAAUCAGAAAACAACAGAAACCGAAGAAACUGGAACUCCAAUAGAAGAGAAAAAACAGAGAGAGAAAAAGAGAUUAUAUUUGGAAAUGGGUAUGCAAUUCCUGGUUAGGCGAUUGGUUAGAAAAUCAGGUGAAGUCAUCAGUUUGCAAGAAGUUAAAGCCAUCUCCAUGAGGCUUACCAGCAAAAUCUGGGCUGAAAUGGAGGAUCAACUUCAUGUAAAUCUCUUAAUACAGUCUCACAGGCCCUUAAAGAUGAUUUGCAACGCCCUUUGUAAAAAGUGGCAAAGUGCAGAAACAGUGCUGCUAAUGAUGAAAUUAAAUCUCCCACUCAUCGACAACAUAAUUUUUGUAACUCUCAUAGAGGAAGCAGCCAAACUAUCCAAGAGACCAAGUCGCAUAAGUCGAUUUUUCUCAUUUGUAGGUCGACUUUUUUCCUCCUGUCUGUGCUGCAUGCAGAGUUCCAACACAGCUGACUGCGGUGUGGAACAACAAAUCAUUGUGUUUCAGAGCCUGAAAGAGGCUGAAAACAAGCCUGAAAACGAGAAAAGAAAUAGUAGUCAUGCGACUGUGUGUUCUUUCUGUAACUUUAAGAACUGUAACUGCUCUUUCAACGUUAAUGUCAAAUUGAGCAUCCCGAAACUAUUCAGUUUAGUGUAAUGCAGAGAAAGAGCUGCUGCUUUAAAGGCAGUACUGAUGACUAAAUUGUCAUCUUGAUUUUUUUUUCAAAUACCUCUUUUAAAAUCUUAAAGCAGUCUGGCCUCAGAGUUAACAUCAGAGGUAUAUUUUAUUUUAAAACUAUUUCAUUCGACUUUAAUUAGACUGAGAAAUAUUCUUCACCGUGUCUCUUCGUAUUAUCGUUACCAUCACCCCCCAACGGCCGAGGCAGACGGCCGUCCCUUCUGAGCCUGGUUCUGCCGGAGGUUUCUGCCUGUUACAGGUAGUUUUUCCUCCCCACUGUCGCCAAGUGCUUGCUCAUAAGGGAUUAUUCAUUAAUUGGGGUUUUCUUGCUGCUACUGUAGGGUCUCUAUCUUACAGUAUAAAGCAACUUGAGGAGACGGUUGUGAUUUGAUGCUAUAUUAAACAUCUUAAAUUCAACUGAAUCUUAAAAUGUAAUAUAGCAUCACAUCACCAUCAAAUCAAGAACUGAAAAAUAUAAAACAAAAUGAAAAUAAAAACCUAAAUUAAAAGCAGUUUGUGAUUUGUCUUGUGCUUUCAAAAUAUAUUGUCAAAUAUGAAAAGCUGCAUUUCUAUGCUCUGGUCAUUAGUACUGGUAUUUUAACCCUGGAGAACAAAUGGGGUCAGAUCCGACCCCAUUGGUUUUCUAGGGAACCCAUGGGGUCAAAUUUGACCCCAUGGGUUCUCCAGGGUUAAUGUAAGCAAACACAGGGAGCAUACACCGAUGUGGAAGUACUACAGAUGAAGAUGCAAAGAAACCAUGAAAUAAUUAAUGAAAUAGUGAAGUUUAUGAAUAAAAUAAACAACUGUAGCACCGUCUCAGUCUCGUCGAAUCGCCCCUCUGCCUCUUCUACUCUAGCAUCAACUCUUCUUAACCCUCGUCUAAUAUGCGCAUAUUGUUUGUUGUUGUCUUUCCUAAAGUCACGAAGCUCUUUCGGGAUGUUCAGGAGGCUGGGCUCGUCUGCAUCCGUGCCCUCUGUGGCUAACCUUAGCUCAGGAGAGUAGCUCCUAUCCACGUGGCUUUUCUCUGUCUCCUCUUCUGUCUGAGUUGUGCCUCUCAAACUUCUUGUGACUACCCCCGUUUCCAUAUUUAAAAGCAAUCUCACCUAUUAUCAGAAAGAUUACCGUAUCUUAUUGUAAGAGAAAUUUCUCCUACGUGUUUGGAGUCUCUACAGUAAGCAAAUGUGGUAAAGGGUGUGGCUGAUUCUGGGAUUGAUGCAGGAGGGCGACAGAAAUAAAAAGUAAAAUAUUAAAUUUUUGCUGUUAUUGACUUUGCUUUACAAUAUCAAACACUGAGCCAGAUGCACAAUAGUCAUGUACAUCACACGUAAACACAUUAAUGUAAAAAACACAGAGGUUAGGCCAUCAAAGUGUGUGUAAAAGAAGUGUUUAUGUCUGUCUUGCAGUUUCUGUUCCUGUCCGAGGUUUGCAGUGGAGAGCUCAGACCACACAGGACCCCGUCCUCUCCAAACCCUGCUCAGCUCUCUGGUACCAGCACACCCACGCACAACUGGCCACCUUAAAAAAUUGUACAGUUUUGAGCUCGAUAACCUGCAGGUGAAAAAUCUGUAGAUCAGUCAUCGCUCCUCUGUGGUGUUAAGAUGCUGAAUACAAGGGGAAUAAAAGUGGAUUAUAAUCGAUACCAAAACGGAUCUUUAUCCAUGGAAUCAGUAGCAUAAAAUCAGGAAUUUCAGGCUUCAUUAUCAUGGUUAAUUUAAGAAAAUAAAUAAAAAUAGGUGUGACCAUAUUUGACGAUUAUGAGCUAAUUCAAGCAAGUAGAAAACUGAAUAAUAAUUAUCCAUAACUGUGGAUGAACUGACCGUUAGAUGAACUGCAGUCUUUGUCCUUUGAGUGUGGCAGGUGGCUUCUUGAUGGCUCACACCGUUCCCCUCUCUCACCUCCUGCAGGGGGCAGUGUCCAGCUCUCUCACCUGUCUGCAGACGGCGGAGGGAGUGGCAGCUCUGCUGAUGGAGAGAGGCGGUGUGCAGGAAGGAGAUCACGUCGCUCUGGUGUACCCGCCAGGUGAGAGACAAUGCAGAUGUUAAAUGUACUUUUCAGGUGACAGCACCUGGACACUGCAAGCAUCGUUCACACCUGUGUGUCUCCUUCUGCAGGUAUAGACCUGAUCGCAGCCCUUUACGGCUGCCUGUACGCCGGCUGCGUUCCCAUCACAGUGCGACCGCCUCACCCUCAGAACAUCUCCACCACCCUGCCCACUGUUAAGAUGAUUGUCGAGGUCAGACUCUUAAUUUGUCUGUUAAACCGAUGCGGUUUCUCCUUCAGUCAGACCUCCAGGGCUCAAGCUCUCGCUCCCAGCUAAUUCCAGACUCGUACGGCUCUGGCUGACUUCUGAUUUCCUCUGGGGAAAAAAGGGAGGUUAAUUUCUUCUUCUGUCCUUCUCUUUCUAAUUGUGCAGGUGAGUCACUCGGCGUGUGUGAUGAUGACCACCGCCGUCAUCUGUAAGCUGCUGCGCUCCAAAGAGGCCAUGGCCACGAUGGACAUCAGGAACUGGCCCCCAGUCCUGGACACCGGUACAGCGUUUCAUUCAUAUCCGCACAGGGAAAUCACGCUCGCAUUAAGUACUUUAAUUUAACAUAAAUGCAGGUCGUGCACAGCCUCCUCACAAUGCAGUCCGAGUAGUUCUGGUUGCAGAUAUAAACCUAAAGAAUGCACAUUAAAUGAAAUCCUCUGCUGUGAUGAAACCUGCCUUUACAGCUCCAUCACUCUGUGAUUUAUCAAAAAAUAAAAACUUGCUGUAGCUGCAAGUCUGUGGAGUUUUUAAGUCUGUUGGUUCUCGUCUUUGGGAGAAGCAACCUGUCACUGAACAGACUGUUCUGGUUGUUUAUGGCCGUGUGCAGAGGAUGCCCAGCAUUGUCCAUAAUGUCCAUAAAAAUGUUAUAACAUGGGAACAUGCAUGCAAUAUAGUAUAAAUAAUAAAAACAAAGCUUAUACAAUUUUAGAAAAGCUUGAAAGUCAUUAUUUGGUGUGAUUCCUUAUACUUCCGCUUAAAAGACUACCACUACCACUUAAAAUACAUUCUGUGUUAGGAAAAGGGUAAGAUUUGAUAUACAUGCAGCUGUAGUUACAUGCAGCUGUAGUUACAUGCAGCUGUAGUUACAUGCACCUGUAGUGGAAGGAACAGUUUAAAUAUACUUUCAAAGAUGCUUUUUUAUCCUUUUUAAAGAACUCUUUUUAUUCAUAGCUGAUUGAGCUGUUUUUCUGCUUCUUUGUCAGACUCAUCUCUGACUGCCAAUCACCUGUGACACCAAACACAUCUUUAUUUUUCCAUUAUUACUGAUAAUAACCAAUAUAAAUAAGUGAUUCGUGUAGAUUCAAUGGUUUGUUUGUGACAUGUGGUUUUGUAUUUGACUGAUGUCAUUUAACCGCACCGUACAUUGGUCAAGUAUGUCUAAUAAUAAACAUACAACAUACAAUAAACAAAGAGGGAUCACAUUUGAAUCUCACUGACUAGGAAGCACACAGUGUUUGACAUUUCAUAUUAACUUUACUCUGAAAUAAUUUUAGCAUUUUUUUCAAGUCCCCAGUGUUUCCUGCUCCUUGGAGCACUCCUGGUUGUCUGCUAUGGUGGAGGUGGCCAAUGUCUGGAGACAAAUCGCUGUUCUGGGGAGCUGCUUUCCUCCACUUACUUUACAUCAGAGUAGAAAGCAUGGAAACAACCCUGAUGGAAAACAGAAACAGCAUCCAGGAAGUGGAAUAAAGAUUAAGCAGCCAAAUUCUAGCUCUGGUUCGAUGCUUACAUUUGGAGGACUCUAGACCACAAACUGAGAGAAACUCUGUGAAGAUGCAGAAACACAUCAAGUUUUGCAAACAAGCAUACUAUUUUUAUAGUUAACUAAACUUCUAGUUUAUUAGAGUUGAGUUCCUACUCGCAGACAACUGAAACAUUCACAUUUGGAAAGCUGACUGAAUAAAUUUUCGUUUGAUUAAUCUAAAGUUGUUCUUCUGUGUCUGAAAACACCCACUCCCACUUACUCAACCUGUGUUGUCGUCUGCUGCUGUGGCCUACAGUAGCAGAAGACAACACUGCAACUGUAACCAAACUGAUUACAGCAUUAUUUAAAAACCUUUAGUGAACUCAACGUUCAAGAUUUUUCAAGGAUCCACAGAAACUUUGAUUGUGUGCUAAAAAUGCUAGUAAAGCUGACAUCCAUCACGAACAACCCACAUCCUCCUCUGCAUGAGUCUGUGAGUGUGCUGAGCAGUUCCUCAUCAGAGACCAAAACAUCCUCACUGCAGGAAGGAGCGCUUUCACAGAUCAUUGAUCCCAACAGCAGUUAGACUAUAACUCCUCAAUCACGUUGUCAUGAGUCACUGGACAUUUACCUGGUGUGCACGUAUAUGUGUAUGUAUAUGUAUACAUGUGUAUAUUCAGUGUGUGUAUGUGUGUGUGUGUGUGUGUGUGUGUGCGCGUGUACAUGUCUAUACUUCUAGAUACUUUUAGAUAUCUAUUGCUUAAAUAGUAAUGAUACAAUAGUUAAAUUUAUUUCUUGCAUUUCCACAACACUCUAUCCAUAGUCACAUACUGUGUAUGCUACUGUUGUAUAUAGUGUACUAUCUUAUUUAUUUUGUGGUUGUUUAUAUUUUAGUCCUAUUUUCGUAUUUUCUGUAACCAUGGUUACGGGAGUUUGUUGCAAGAAGUGUUGUGAAUCUCGCUGAGACAGGGAACCACUGAGGAGCCUCAGAUUAACCAAUCAGUCAGAUCGCUGUCUCCACUUGGGUGGCUGUAGCUCAGGUGGUCAGCCACUACUCAGAAGGUUGGUGGUUCGAUCCCAGGCUGCCUCCUGGCUGCAUGCCAAAUAACCUUGGGCAAGAUACUAACCCAGGGGUCUGCAACCUUUUACACCCAAAGAGCCAUUUGACCCGGUUUCCACGCAAAAGAAAACACUGGGAGCCGCAAAUACUUUUUGACAUCUAAAAUGAAGAUAACACUGUAUAUAUUGUUUUUUACCUUUAUGCUUUGUGUGAACAACUCAGGUGUGUUGCUUAUGAAAAAUGAAGUGCUACAGAGAAAAUGUAAUUAUAUUUAUGUAAUCAACACAUUUUGAACUCUUAAAGAAAUAUAACAAAAGGAAAGACACCAACCUGAACUAAAAUGAUCCAGCAAACAAAAACUGUUGUCAGCCGCCACCCUUAUAUCGCCUUUGGGCUUUUGGAGCCUUGACCUGACUCUUAAAAAAUAAUUAGAAAAAAGCUCUAUGCUGCUAAAAGAUGAAAAAUAGAUUCUGCCUAAAUAUGUAUUUUACCUGGUUAAUGUGUGUGGCGGGGUGUGGUUUGCAGCGCCGCUGCAGGGGAGUCGAACGCACCUGAGCAGCACCCGCAAUCCUGCCUUUCCGCCUUAAAGUCUGUGCUCUCUCUGCUGUUGUGUUGUCGGGCUGUGAGCUGAAAAGCUACAGCCGGCUGUAUGUGUAGCCGCUAAACUGGUGACCUAAAUCUUCGCCACCACGUCUAUAUACAUACAAGCAUAAGGGGAGAGAGUGAAUCAGCGCUGGGAGUACGGACACUGGGCCGGCUUUAAACACACCAUUUAUUUUUUUAGAAGAACAGCCAGAAUCACAAGUAGGAGUUAAAAUCCCCACUAUACAAUAAAAAAAUAAAUGUUCCCAACCCACUAAAAAGCCCUGCCGGCAGAGAUUAAAAUACAAUUAAAAAAAUCAAAGCUAAAUGAAUGUCCUUUUUAUACGAUAAAACUUCCCCCCCAGAGUCCUCUAUUCCCAGUGUCCAACCACACACACUCGGGCAAAUGUUCCUUAGCUGAAAGACGCAGAAGGGGAGCUCCUCUUCCGGGAUGGGGAAAUCUCGCCAGCAGAAGGCCAG